rnacentral:rRNA from 1 species
AUGUUCACUUUGCAUGUUAUGCUUGCUUCUAUGCCUUUGCCAUGCAAUUGUGACCCUUGCUUGCAUCUACCCAUGAUUCACCAUUUUACUACUGAUAUGUGUAUUUGCAUGCUUGGCGGAGAUCCUUGUUGCUAUUGCCAUGUUUAUCAUGUGCCUCAUGCUAUUGUUGAUUCUUGUGUUGGGAGAGUCAUGAUGUUCCAUUACUAUUUACCUAGGACUUCUUGCCAAUACAAUGAUGAUACUUUCCUUAUAUCUUGCUUUCAUGCUUGUGCUAUGUCAUGUGAAUUAUUCAUGCACACUAUUUGCACACAUGACAUGAUUAGCUCUAGUAUGUUGCAUCUUCACACUACUAGCUCACACCACUUGAUCGCUAUGAUUGCUUGCUUUGUCGCAUCACCCAUGUUCCAUUUUUACUCGCUUUCUUGGGCUGAUGACAUAUAUGUUCAUGCCUCUCACUUGAUUUGUCUUGAUAAUUGUCUCUUGUCUCCAUUAGUUGCAUCUCUCAUAUCACCUUGUAUUGAGUGCCAACUUGCUAUGCAUAUUGAACAUGGAGACUUGGACAUAUUACUUGUGAAGCAUGCUUGUUUAUUUGAGCCUAUUGUAUUUGGUUGUUAUCGCAUCAUAUGCCUCCAUACUAUGAAAUGCUCCCUUGUCCUUUCUUAUGAUGAGCAUGAUGCAUACACUUGUUGGGUAUCUUACCAUACGAAUGAUAGGUUUUGCACCUCCGCUAACCUCAUUUGUUUUUCCGAGUGUUUGUCAUGUUCUUUCAUUUCGGAGGAUUCUCAAGGCAUUUCCAUCACGAAAUAA